UAUAAAGAAGCCACCACCACCUGUGAA
rnacentral:piRNA from 1 species